rnacentral:rRNA from 1 species
UACGUAGGUGGCAAGCGUUGUCCGGAAUUAUUGGGCGUAAAGCGCGCGCAGGCGGUUUCUUAAGUCUGAUGUGAAAGCCCCCGGCUUAACCGGGGAGGGUCAUUGGAAACUGGGAGACUUGAGUGCAGAAGAGGAAAGUGGAAUUCCAAGUGUAGCGGUGAAAUGCGUAGAGAUUUGGAGGAACACCAGUGGCGAAGGCGACUUUCUGGUCUGUUACUGACGCUGAGGCGCGAAAGCGUGGGGAGCAAACAGG